rnacentral:rRNA from 1 species
AGUCGACGGUUGUAGCAUACAGCAGUGGCAGACGGGUGAGUAACACGUGGGAACCUUCCUAGGGGUACGGAGCAACUCAGGGAAACUUGAGCUAAUACCGUAUACGUCCGUGAGGAGAAAGAUUUAUCGCCCCUAGACGGGCCCGCGUAGGAUUAGGUAGUUGGUGAGGUAACGGCUCACCAAGCCUACGAUCCUUAGCUGAUCUGAGAGGAUGAUCAGCCACACUGGGACUGAGACACGGCCCAGACUCCUACGGGAGGCAGCAGUGGGGAAUAUUGGACAAUGGGCGAAAGCCUGAUCCAGCAAUGCCGCGUGAGUGAUGAAGGCCUUAGGGUUGUAAAGCUCUUUUACCCGGGAUGAUAAUGACAGUACCGGGAGAAUAAGCCCCGGCUAACUCCGUGCCAGCAGCCGCGGUAAUACGGAGGGGGCUAGCGUUGUUCGGAAUUACUGGGCGUAAAGCGUACGUAGGCGGCUUUGUAAGUUAGAGGUGAAAGCCCGGGGCUCAACCCCGGAAUUGCCUUUAAGACUGCAUCGCUUGAAUCAUGGAGAGGUGAGUGGAAUUCCGAGUGUAGAGGUGAAAUUCGUAGAUAUUCGGAAGAACACCAGUGGCGAAGGCGACUCACUGGACAUGUAUUGACGCUGAGGUACGAAAGCGUGGGGAGCAAACA